rnacentral:rRNA from 1 species
GACGAACGCUGGCGGCGUGCCUAAUACAUGCAAGUCGAACGAGAGCACCCGGUGCUUGCACUGGUCAAUCUAGUGGCGAACGGGUGAGUAACACGUGGGUAACCUGCCCAUCAGAGGGGGAUAACAUCCGGAAACGGGUGCUAAAACCGCAUAGGUCUUCGAACCGCAUGGUUUGAAGAGGAAAAGAGGCGUAAGCUUCUGCUGAUGGUUGGACCCGCGGUGCAUUAGCUAGUUGGUGAGGUAACGGCUCACCAAGGCCGUGAUGCAUAGCCGACCUGAGAGGGUGAUCGGCCACAUUGGGACUGAGACACGGCCCAAACUCCUACGGGAGGCAGCAGUAGGGAAUCUUCCGCAAUGGACGCAAGUCUGACGGAGCAACGCCGCGUGAGUGAAGAAGGUUUUCGGAUCGUAAAACUCUGUUGUUAGAGAAGAACAAGUGCUAGAGUAACUGUUAGCGCCUUGACGGUAUCUAACCAGAAAGCCACGGCUAACUACGUG